rnacentral:lncRNA from 1 species
UCUCACCGUCUAUAAAUUAUUCUUAUUCAAAAAUCAAUCUCCCUACCAUAUCUAUUAUGAUUUAUCACUUAUCAUAUCAUAUUAUAUAAUAUAUCUCAUGAAUAACAAAGUAGACUUUCAUUCACGUAUUUCACUAAAAGAACAUUACCCUAAAAAGCCUAAAGGUUUUGGUAUGGUGCGUAUAAAUUCAUUCCUUCAUCACCAAAGAGAGACGGAGACCAAACCUGCUUCAUCACCAAAGAGAGACAGAGACCACACCUGCUGGCUGCCCGUAUUUCACCCUUGCCAGAAAUCAAAAUUUGAUUUUUUAAAAAUUUUCUUCUUCUCUACAAGAAGCCAGUAUGUAUGUGUUUGAUGCAAAAUUUUUAAGUUUCCAAUGAAGGCUUUUGCUCUCUGAUAAGGUAUAAUCCACUUUUGGUAUAAUCUAUUUGUAACUGUUAUUUUUAGUGUUCAAAUGUGAUUGAUUUGAAAAUUUGUCCUUUUAUGAUGUGAUAUUCUUAUUCUUGACUUUGUAAGUUUUGUAGUGAGCUUAUAAAAAUUUAUCAACGGACAACUUGGUAUGGUAACCUGUUUGUAAGUCUCAUGUGAAUUUAUAUAUAGCUAUAUAUGCCUUUGAUUAUCUUUAAUUGCCAUUGGCAAGCUGGGUAUAUAUGUGCACUAGAAUUUUUUUUGAUGGUUCUAUCUCCAUGAAAUCUUUAUCUGUAUUUCCCAGAGGAUGACCAUGAGUUACUUAAAUUGAAAACAAUAUCCCUAUUUUGAACAACACAUUAUGUCCUAAUGUGUCAAAUUUAUAAAUGCAGUACUUAUUUUGCUUGCAUCAUGUUUUUUUUGCAGUAUAUGAAAAGAAACCAUCCCUGAAAGUCUGUCAAGGCAUGCAACAAAAGUUGCUUGGAUCUCAUGCAAUUGUUUUUUGAACUGAAAAGUUAGUACUUUUAUAGUGGCAGUUGUGAUUCUUGUGAAAUAAGAAGAAUGUAACCAUUACAACUAGUUGCAUUGCGGCCACUUAUCCAUUGCAUUUGUAACUGAAAUGUCCAUUUUGGCAUUUACAACUCAAAUAUUUGGAACUAUUCUGCAGUUUUGAAUUUUGAA